UUCAGUGUUUUUGAUAGACUGUGUUGUGUAUAUAUUUAUUUUUUGUAUUUAUAUUUGUAUUGUUAAUUGUAAGUGAAAUGAACAGUAGCGAUGCGGCGAGAAGUGCCAGUCAACCUUCUGCAUCGCUAGGUAUUUCGGAGCGAUGCCCGCACUGUACCCAGGUACGGUACUUUAAAGCGAUUUUAAGCAAGCAGUCCAAAGAUGUCCAAAGAAGAUCCUGUACGCUGUAAAUAAAUAGUUCCUGAGCAACAAUCUUCAUAUUGGACAAGGCGGUAACAGUCUCGGGAUGUGCAAUACUGAUUUCGAAGUUAGC